CUACCUGAUGACCGAUAGUGAAGCAGUACCGUGAGGGAAAGGUGAAAAGAACCCCGGGAGGGGAGUGAAAUAGAACCUGAAACCGUGUGCCUACAACCGGUCAAAGCCCCUUAUGAGGGUGAUGACGUGCUUUUUGUAGAACGAGCCAACGAGUUACGGUAUGUAGCAAGGUUAAGUACUUAAGGUACGGAGCCGAAGGGAAACCGAGUCUUAAUAGGGCGACUAGUUGCAUGCCGUAGACCCGAAACCGGGUGACCUAUCCAUGGCCAGGUUGAAGCGGGGGUAAAACCCCGUGGAGGACCGAACCACGUUGCUGUUGAAAAAGCAUGGGAUGAGCUGUGGAUAGCGGAGAAAUUCCAAUCGAACUCGGAGAUAGCUGGUUCUCCUCGAAAUAGCUUUAGGGCUAGCGUCGGAUAUGAGUAGUGGAGGUAGAGCACUGAAUGGGCUAGGGGGCAUAGCGCUUACCGAACCUUAUGUAAGUUAAGUGGAAAAGGAUGUGGGAUUUCUAAGACAACUAGGAUGUUGGCUUAGAAGCAGCCACUCAUUAAAAGAGUGCGUAAUAGCUCACUAGUCGAGAGAUCCUGCGCCGAAGAUGUCCGGGGCUCAAACUUACCACCGAAGCUACGGGUUCACACUUAUGUGUGAGCGGUAGAGGAGCGUCGUAAUCGGGCUGAAGUCGUACCGUAAGGAGCGGUGGACUGAUUACGAGUGAGAAUGUUGGCAUUAGUAGCGAGAUGUGGGUGAGAAUCCCACAGGCCGAAUAUCUAAGGUUUCCUCAGGAAGGUUCGUCCGCUGAGGGUUAGUCGGGACCUAAGCCGAGGCCGAAAGGCGUAGGCGAUGGACAAUCGGUUGAUAUUCCGAUACCACUACUGAUCGUUAUUAUCGAUGGUGUGACGGAGAAGGAUAGAGUGUGCUAGCUAUUGGAUGCUAGUCUAAGCGUUUAGGGAGUUAGGAAAGGCAAAUCCGUCCUAACAAUUCUGAGGCGUGAUGGGGAAGGUUCUACGGAACCGAAGUACUUGAUUCCAUGCUUCCAAGAAAAGCAUCUAGAGAGAGAUGUAGUGCCCGUACCGCAAACCGACACAGGUAGAUGAGGAGAGAAUCCUAAGGCCGGCGGAAGAAUCACAGUUAAGGAACUAGGCAAAUUGACCCCGUAACUUAGGGAGAAGGGGUGCCUGUGAGAGCAGGCCGCAGAGAAUAGGCCCAAGCAACUGUUUAGCAAAAACACAGGUCUCUGCUAAAGCGAAAGCUGAUGUAUAGGGGCUGACGCCUGCCCGGUGCUGGAAGGUUAAGGGGAACACUUAGCGCAAGCGAAGGUGUGAACUUAAGCCCCAGUAAACGGCGG
rnacentral:rRNA from 1 species